rnacentral:rRNA from 1 species
CCCUUCGAUGUUCUGGGCCGCACGCGUGUUACACUGAUAAAGUCAACGAGUUUAGAACCUUCUCUGGGAGGAGUGGGUAAUCUUUUGAAACUUUAUCGUGAUGGGGAUAGAUGAUUGCAAUUAUUCAUCUUGAACGAGGAAUGCCUAGUAAGCGCGAUUCAUCAUAUCGCGUUGACUGCGUCCCUGCUCUUUGUACACACCGCCCGUCGCUCCUACCGAUUGAAUGUUCCGGUGAAAUCUCCGGAUUGCGAGAAGCUAACUUUUACUGGCUUUGUCGGUAAAGACUCUUGUGAAAAGUUGAUUAAAUCUUAGCAUUUAGAGGAAGGAGAAGUCGUAACA